rnacentral:rRNA from 1 species
GCAGCCGCGGUAAUACGUAGGUGGCAAGCGUUGUCCGGAAUUAUUGGGCGUAAAGAGCAUGUAGGCGGUCCUUUAAGUCUGGAGUGAAAAUGCGGGGCUCAACCCCGUAUGGCUUUGGAUACUGGGGGACUUGAGUGCAGGAGAGGAAAGGGGAAUUCCCAGUGUAGCGGUGAAAUGCGUAGAUAUUGGGAGGAACACCAGUGGCGAAGGCGCCUUUCUGGACUGUGUCUGACGCUGAGAUGCGAAAGCCAGGGUAGCGAACGGGAUUAGAUACCCC